rnacentral:rRNA from 1 species
CAGCAGCCGCGGUAAUACGUAGGGUGCGGGCGUUAAUCGGAAUUACUGGGCGUAAAGCGUGCGCAGGCGGUUGUGUAAGACAGGUGUGAAAUCCCCGGGCUUAACCUGGGAACUGCGCUUGUGACUGCACAGCUAGAGUAUGGCAGAGGGGGGUGGAAUUCCACGUGUAGCAGUGAAAUGCGUAGAGAUGUGGAGGAACACCGAUGGCGAAGGCAGCCCCUUGGGCCAAUACUGACGCUCAUGCACGAAAGCGUGGGGAGCAAACAGGAUUAGAUACCCGCGUAGUCCCUGUCUCUUAUAC